CGCGGCCUAUCAGCUUGUUGGUGGGGUAAUGGCCUACCAAGGCGACGACGGGUAGCCGGCCUGAGAGGGUGAUCGGCCACACUGGGACUGAGACACGGCCCAGACUCCUACGGGAGGCAGCAGUGGGGAAUAUUGCACAAUGGGCGAAAGCCUGAUGCAGCGACGCCGCGUGGGGGAUGACGGUCUUCGGAUUGUAAACCCCUUUCAGUAGGGACGAAGCGCAAGUGACGGUACCUGCAGAAGAAGCACCGGCUAACUACGUGCCAGCAGCCGCGGUAAUACGUAGGGUGCGAGCGUUGUCCGGAAUUAUUGGGCGUAAAGAGCUUGUAGGCGGUUUGUCGCGUCUGCCGUGAAAAUCCGGGGCUCAACUCCGGACUUGCGGUGGGUACGGGCAGACUAGAGUGUGGUAGGGGAGACUGGAAUUCCUGGUGUAGCGGUGAAAUGCGCAGAUAUCAGGAGGAACACCGAUGGCGAAGGCAGGUCUCUGGGCCACUACUGACGCUGAGAAGCGAAAGCGUGGGGAGCGAACAGGAUUAGAUACCCUGGUAGUCCACGCCGUAAACGUUGGGAACUAGGUGUGGGUCUCAUUCCACGAGAUCCGUGCCGCAGCUAACGCAUUAAGUUCCCCGCCUGGGGAGUACGGA
rnacentral:rRNA from 1 species